GAUGAACGCUAGCGGCAGGCUUAAUACAUGCAAGUCGAGGGGCAUCAAGGUACACGAAAGUGUAUUGUUGGCGACCGGCGGACGGGUGAGUAAUAGGUAGGUAACCUACCUCAUACUGAGGCAUAGCUGGGAGAAAUUCCAGGUAAUUCCUCAUGAGGUUAUAUGACACAUGUGAUAUAAUCAAAGGUAUCGCAAGGUACUGGUAUGAGAUGGGCUUACUGACCAUUAGCUAGUUGGUGAGAUAAGAGCUCACCAAGGCGAAGAUGGUUAGGGGUUUUGAGAGAGAGAUCCCCCACAUUGGAACUGAGAUACGGUCCAGACUCCUACGGGAGGCAGCAGUAGGGAAUAUUGGGCAAUGGGCGGAAGCCUGACCCAGCCAUGCCGCGUGAAGGAAGACGGCCUUAUGGGUUGUAAACUUCUUUACUAUGCGACUAACUAGAUUUACGAGAUAAUUCUAUAGAAUGUAGCAUAGACAAAAGCAACC
rnacentral:rRNA from 1 species